rnacentral:lncRNA from 1 species
UGCUAUGAGCAGCUUCUCUUCCACCAUGUCUCUCUGCUGUGCUGCCCUGCCUUGGAGCCAGCCUGCUGUGGACUGAAACCUUUACAAACUGUGAGCCAAAGGCCCCACCCUGUCUCCUGGCCAAAGAGACUCAAGAAAUCCGGGCAGAGAAUGGUGCUCCCUGCUGCCCAGCGGAGAUGACCACUUCACGGAGAGCAGAGAGAGGAAGGAGGAGGAGAGCGAAAAGAAAGGUCCUCUUUCAGGCUGAGGACGCUGUGGAGUGGCCUCCCCUGGCCUGCCAAGAGCUGACUCACCGGCCGGGACACAGCAUUACAGGUGCACUCAGCACAGACAAUGGAUGCUUUUUAUACACAGCCCCACGCCUGACCGAGACUGACCACUGGGGUCAGGUAGAGACGGUGCCCCAGGGAGUAUGGGCCUGGAGGCAUGAGUAGGAGAGGACCUGGCCUGGAAGCUGCCAUUCUCCAGCCUUCCAGAGCUGGGGUCUGAGCAUUCACAGCCAUGGAGACCCUGCAAUUUCAUGGCCAAGGGACUUCUGAGAGUCCAGCUCUAGGAUCUUUAUCUCUCACGCCUGGCACAUCUCAGGGACGCAGACCCACGUGCUGAAAGGACAGACACACAGACAGGGAGCAAGGGAGAGCAGGGCGUGGACAGAAGCUUCUGGAAAAGCUGCCGUUGAGGAAGGGCUCUGGGAGACAGAGGCUGCCGGGAGGAGAGCUGAGCAGCUCCAGCCUGGCGGUGGACCUCAGGGUGAGGUGAAGGUGGGAGACAGAG